UGGAAGAGCUGCUGAAUCAGCAGACUAAAGGGGCGACCAGGAAGGCCAGACGUCUUGCACCGAGCCCUUUGCUCAGAGUUUCUAUUUGAAGAGCUUAGAAUAACUAUUUGCUAAGCUCUUGUCAAGGCAGCACCUCUAAACCAUGUAUGGAGAGAAGACACACAAACCUUGACCACCAAAUGUGAAUGGCCAAUCAGAAGCUGACACAAUCAGCUAAAAUGAUUUUAUGGGGGAAAAGAAUUCCCACCUUAUGCAAAAGCCAAAGAGCCUUAGGUGUCCCUUCAGGUCUAAAAUACUACUCAGAGAUUCCUUUUGAACAUGCAAAGUAUUUCUGACAGCAUUCAUAUUCAUCUUCUAUUUGUUCUGUGUGGACAUUUGCAUGGAGAGGUAUCUGAAAUUAUGUUCGUCCAAUGGAUUUGGGGUGAUAAUUUUGCUCUCAUCUUUUUACUUUUAUGCAAGGCAGUCAAACAUUAAAGCUUCAAAAACAAAGCUGGAGGCAUCAUGCUACCUGACUUCAAACUAUACUACAAGGCUACAGUAACCAAAACAGCAUGGUACUGGUACCAAAACAGAGAUAUAGACCAAUGGAACAGAACAGAGGCCUCAGAAAUAAUGCCGCAUAUCUACAACUAUCUGAUCUUUGACAAACCUGACAAAAACAAGCAAUGGGGAAAGGAUUCCCUAUUUAAUAAAUGGUGCUGGGAAAACUGGCUAGCCAUAUGGAGAAAAAUGAAACUGGAGCCCUUCCUUACACCUUAUACUAAAAUUAAUUCAAGAUGGAUUAAAGAUUUAAAUGUUAGACCUAAAACCAUAAAAACCCUAGAAGAAAACCUAGGCAAUACCAUUCAGGACAUAGGCAUAGGCAAGGACUUCAUGUCUAAAACACCAAAAGCAAUGGCAACAAAAGCCAAAAUUGACAAAUGGGAUCUAAAUAAACUAAAGAGCUUCUGCACAGCAAAAGAAACUACCAUCAGAGUGAACAGGCAACCUACAGAAUGGGAGAAAAUUUUUGCAAUCUACUCAUCUGACAAAGGGCUAAUAUCCAGAAUCUACAAUGAACUCAAACAAAUUUACAAGAAAAAAACAAACAACCCCAUCAACAAGUGGGCGAAGGAUAUAAACAGACACUUCUCAAAAGAAGAUAUUUAUGCAGCCAAAAGACACAUGAAACAAUGCUCAUCAUCACUGGCCAUCAGAGAAAUGCAAAUCAAAACCACAAUGAGAUACCAUCUCACACCAGUUAGAAAGGUGAUCAUUAAAAAGUCAGGAAACAACAGGUGCUGGAGAGGAUGUGGAGAAAUAGGAACAUUUUCUCACUGUUGGUGGGACUGUAAACUAGUUCAACCAUUGUGGAAGUCAGUGUGGCGAUUCCUCAGGGAUCUAGAACUAGAAAUACCAUUUGACCCAGCCAUCCCAUUACUGGGUAUAUACCCAAAGGGUUAUAAAUCAUGCUGCUAUAAAGACACACGCACAUGUAUGUUUAUUGCGGCACUAUUCACAAUAGCAAAGACUUGGAACCAACCCAA
rnacentral:lncRNA from 1 species